AACGAACGCUGGCGGCAGGCCUAACACAUGCAAGUCGAGCGGACCUUUCGGGGUCAGCGGCGGACGGGUGAGUAACGCGUGGGAAUAUGCCCUUCUCUACGGAAUAGUCCUGGGAAACUGGGGGUAAUACCGUAUACGCCCUUUGGGGGAAAGAUUUAUCGGGGAAGGAUUAGCCCGCGUUGGAUUAGGUAGUUGGUGGGGUAAUGGCCUACCAAGCCGACGAUCCAUAGCUGGUUUGAGAGGAUGAUCAGCCACACUGGGACUGAGACACGGCCCAGACUCCUCCGGGAGGCAGCAGUGGGGAAUCUGAGACAAUGGGGGCAACCCUGAUCUAGCCAUGCCGCGUGAGUGAUGAAGGCCUUAGGGUUGUAAAGCUCUUUCAGCUGGGAAGUUAAUGACGGUACCAGCAGAAGAAGCCCCGGCUAACUCCGU
rnacentral:rRNA from 1 species